rnacentral:rRNA from 1 species
UACGAAGGGGGCUAGCGUUGUUCGGAAUUACUGGGCGUAAAGCGCACGUAGGCGGUGUUCCAUGUCAGAGGUGAAAGCCUGGGGCUCAACUCCAGAAUUGCCCUUGAAACGGGGACGCUUGAGUCCGAGAGAGGAUGGCGGAAUUCCUAGUGUAGAGGUGAAAUUCGUAGAUAUUAGGAAGAACAUCGGUGGCGAAGGCGGCCUUCUGGACAGUGACUGACGCUGAGACGCGAAAGCGUGGGGAGCAAACAGG